GGAGAUCGUUGUGGUAUAUAUGGAUCAAAUUGCUCCCAAUGGAUUAUUGCAAUGGAGCUUUUGAAGCCCGAUAUGUUUUUAAAGAAGAUGGAGAGAGAGGUUAGAAGAAGAUGAAGCGGAAGAGGAGAUUGAGUACCAUAUUAUGAGAGUUGAUAGGACUGACGACCACUAAAUGCUGAAGAAUGGAGUGGAUUUAUGUUAUGAUGCAUAUAUAUGGUCGAGUAAUGUUUAAAUGUAGUGUUAUGAACGUUGUCAAAU